CAAUAGCGUAUAUUAAAGUUGUUGCAGUUAAAAAGCUCGUAGUUGGGUUUGUGGCGUACGGUGUGUUCCGGGCACUUGUUGUCUGAGUAACCUGCUGUUGCCAUCCUUGGGUGGAACCUGUGUGGCAUUAGGUUGUCGUGCAGGGGAUGCCCAUCAUUUACUGUGAAAAAAUUAGAGUGUUCAAAGCAGGCUUAUGCCGUUGAAUAUAUUAGCAUGGAAUAAUGAGAUAGGACUUUUUUGCUAUUUUGUUGGCUUGCGCAAGAAGGUAAUGAUUAAUAGGGACAGUUGGGGGUAUUCGUAUUCCAUUGUCAGAGGUGAAAUUCUUGGAUUUUUGGAAGACGAACUACUGCGAAAGCAUUUACCAAGGAUGUUUUCAUUAA
rnacentral:rRNA from 1 species